rnacentral:rRNA from 1 species
GAUGAACGCUCGCGGCAGGCCUAACACAUGCAAGUCGAGGGGUAGAAGGAGCUUGCUCCUUUGAGACCGGCGCACGGGUGCGUAACGCGUAUGCAAUCUACCUUGUACAGGGGAAUAGCCCAGAGAAAUUUGGAUUAAUGCCCCAUAGUAUAUAACCUUCGCAUGUUGGUUAUAUUAAAGUUCCAACGGUACAAGAUGAGCAUGCGUCCCAUUAGUUAGUUGGUAAGGUAACGGCUUACCAAGACGAUGAUGGGUAGGGGUCCUGAGAGGGAGAUCCCCCACACUGGGACUGAGACACGGACCAGACUCCUACGGGAGGCAGCAGUGAGGAAUAUUGGGCAAUGGUCGCAAGACUGAACCAGCCAUGCCGCGUGCAGGAAGACGGUCCUAUGGAUUGUAAACUGCUUUUAUACAGGAAGAAACCCUCCCACGUGUGGGAGCUUGACGGUACUGUAGGAAUAAGGAUCGGCUAACUCCGUG